CCUNAGUAGUAUAAAAUUACAUUGGUCUUGUAAACCAAUAACGGGGUAUCYCCCUNAGACA
rnacentral:tRNA from 1 species